rnacentral:rRNA from 1 species
GUCUUUUUGUUAAAAAUUUAAAGUCUAACCUGCUCAAUGAUUAUUUAAAUAGCCGCAGUAUUUUGACUGUGCAAAGGUAGCAUAAUCAAUAGUUUUUUAAUUGAAAACUGGAAUGAAAGGUUGAAUAAGAAAAAUUCUGUCUCAAAUUAAUUAUUUAAAAAUUUAUUUUUAAGUUAAAAAGCUUAAAUUUUUUUUAUAGACGAGAAGACCCUAUAGAGUUUUAUUUUUUAUUUUUAAUUAUAAAAAAGAAAAAAUUAAUAUUUGAARAUAAAAAAUUUGAUUGGGGUGAUUAAAAAAUUUAAUUAACUUUUUUUUUAAUAAACAUAAAUUUAUGAUUUAUUGAUCCAUUAUAAUGAUAAAAGAAUAAAUUACCUUAGGGAUAACAGCGUAAUUACUUUUGAAAGUUCUUAUUAAAAAUGUAGAUUGCGACCUCGAUGUUGGAUUAAAAUUUAUAAUUGGUGUAGAAGCUAAUUUAUUAAGUCUGUUCGACUUUUAAAAUUUUACA